rnacentral:rRNA from 1 species
GACGAACGCUGGCGGCGUGCUUAACACAUGCAAGUCGAACGGAAAGGCCCUGCUUGCAGGGUACUCGAGUGGCGAACGGGUGAGUAACACGUGGGUGAUCUGCCCUGCACUUCGGGAUAAGCCUGGGAAACUGGGUCUAAUACCGGAUAGGAGCCAUUUUUAGUGUGAUGGUUGGAAAGUUUUUUCGGUGUAGGAUGAGCUCGCGGCCUAUCAGCUUGUUGGUGGGGUAAUGGCCUACCAAGGCGGCGACGGGUAGCCGGCCUGAGAGGGUGGACGGCCACAGUGGGACUGAGAUACGGCCCAGACUCCUACGGGAGGCAGCAGUGGGGAAUAUUGCACAAUAGGCGCAAGCCUGAUGCAGCGACGCCGCGUGGGGGAUGACGGCCUUCGGGUUGUAAACUCCUUUCGCUAGGGACGAAGCUUUUUGUGACGGUACCUAGAUAAGAAGCACCGGCUAACUACGUG